rnacentral:rRNA from 1 species
GGAGUUUGGGCCGUGUCUCAGUCCCAAUGUGACCGGUCACCCUCUCAGGUCGGCUACUGAUCGUCGCCUUGGUGAGCCGUUACCUCACCAACUAGCUAAUCAGACGCGGGGCCAUCGUAUGCCGAUAAAUCUUUUCACACUGAGUCAUGCGACUCUGUGCGCUUAUGCGGUAUUAGCGUUCGUUUCCAAACGUUAUCCCCCUGUAUAAGGCAGGUUACCCACGCGUUACUCACCCGUCCGCCACUAAGUCACUAAAUCGUCACCCCGAAGGGAUCGUAAUAAAGUGCUUCGUUCGACUUGCAUGUGUUAAGCACGCCGCCAGCGUUCAUC